rnacentral:rRNA from 1 species
AGAGUUUGAUCCUGGCUCAGAAUGAACGCUGGCGGCGUGCCUAACACAUGCAAGUCGGAUGUGCCGCAAGGUGCAUGGCAGACGGGUGAGUAACGCGUAGGGAAUUUACCUCUUUGUGGGGAAUAACGCUCCGAAAGGAGUGGUAAUACCGCAUGAGACCGAGUGCUGGGAUGCAUUCGGUGAACCCUGGGGACCGCAAGGCCUGGGGCAAGGAGAGGAUCCUGCGUCUGAUUAGCUAGUUGGCGGGGUAAUGGCCCACCAAGGCGACGAUCAGUAGCCGGCCUGAGAGGGUGAUCGGCCACACUGGAACUGAGACACGGUCCAGACUCCUACGGGAGGCAGCAGUGGGGAAUUUUGCGCAAUGGACGAAAGUCUGACGCAGCAACGCCGCGUGGGUGAUGAAGGUCUUCGGACUGUAAAACCCUGUCGUCAGGGACGAAGGUG